rnacentral:rRNA from 1 species
UGUGUAGGCGGCUUGCUAAGUUUGGUGUGAAAUCUCCCGGCUCAACCGGGAGGGUGCGCCGAAAACUGGAAGGCUAGAGUGCGGGAAGGGAGAGUAGAAUUCCUGGUGUAGCGGUGAAAUGCGUAGAUAUCAGGAGGAAUACCGGUGGUGCAGACGGCUCUCUGGACCGCAACUGACGCUGAGACACGAAAGCGUGGGUAGCAAACAGGAUUAGAUACCCUGGUAGUCCACGCCCUAAACGAUGCAUAUUUGGUGUAGGUCAUUCAGUUGAUCUGUGCCGGAGCUAACGCGUUAAAUAUGCCGCCUGGGGAGUACAGUCGCAAGGCUGAA